GCAGGCUUAACACAUGCAAGUCGAGCGGUAGCACAGGGGAGCUUGCUCCCUGGGUGACGAGCGGCGGACGGGUGAGUAAUGUCUGGGAAACUGCCUGAUGGAGGGGGAUAACUACUGGAAACGGUAGCUAAUACCGCAUAACGUCGCAAGACCAAAGAGGGGGACCUUCGGGCCUCUUGCCAUCAGAUGUGCCCAGAUGGGAUUAGCUAGUAGGUGGGGUAAUGGCUCACCUAGGCGACGAUCCCUAGCUGGUCUGAGAGGAUGACCAGCCACACUGGAACUGAGACACGGUCCAGACUCCUACGGGAGGCAGCAGUGGGGAAUAUUGCACAAUGGGCGCAAGCCUGAUGCAGCCAUGCCGCGUGUGUGAAGAAGGCCUUCGGGUUGUAAAGCACUUUCAGCGAGGAGGAAGGUGGUGAACUUAAUACGCUCAUCAAUUGACGUUACUCGCAGAAGAAGCACCGGCUAACUCCGUGCCAGCAGCCGCGGUAAUACGGAGGGUGCAAGCGUUAAUCGGAAUUACUGGGCGUAAAGCGCACGCAGGCGGUUUGUUAAGUCAGAUGUGAAAUCCCCGGGCUCAACCUGGGAACUGCAUUUGAAACUGGCAAGCUAGAGUCUCGUAGAGGGGGGUAGAAUUCCAGGUGUAGCGGUGAAAUGCGUAGAGAUCUGGAGGAAUACCGGUGGCGAAGG
rnacentral:rRNA from 1 species